rnacentral:rRNA from 1 species
UUUUUGAAGUAAGGAUGAUUAGUGAUACGCCUGUUGGGUAGGGGAGCGUUGUGUAAGCGGAAGAAGGUUCAUCGAGAGGUGGGCUGGACGUAUCACAAGUGCGAAUGCUGACAUAAGUAACGAUAAAACGGGUGAAAAACCCGUUCGCCGGAAGACCAAGGGUUCCUGUCCAACGUUAAUCGGGGCAGGGUGAGUCGGCUCCUAAGGCGAGGCUGAAAAGCGUAGUCGAUGGGAAACAGGUUAAUAUUCCUGUACUUGGUAAAGCUGCGAUGUGGGGACGGAGUAGGUUAGGUUAUCGCACUGUUGGAUAUGUGCGUUUAAGUUGGUAGGUGGGAAGUUUAGGCAAAUCCGGACUUCCUUAACACAGAGAGAUGAUGACGAGGCUCUACGGAGCUGAAGUAACUGAUACCACACUUCCAGGAAAAGCCACUAAGCGAAAGGCUUUACUAAACCGUACUGAAAACCGACACAGGUGGUCAGGUAGAGAAUACUCAGGCGCUUGAGAGAACUCGGGUGAAGGAACUAGGCAAAAUAGCACCGUAACUUCGGGAGAAGGUGCGCCGGCGUAGAUUGUAAGGGCUAGCCCCUGAAGGUUGAACCGGUCGAAGAUACCAGCUGGCUGCAACUGUUUAUUAAAAACACAGCACUCUGCAAACACGAAAGUGGACGUAUAGGGUGUGAUGCCUGCCCGGUGCUGGAAGGUUAAUUGAUGGUGUCAUCGCAAGAGAAGCACCUGAUCGAAGCCCCAGUAAACGGCGGCCGUAACUAUAACGGUCCUAAGGUAGCGAAAUUCCUUGUCGGGUAAGUUCCGACCUGCACGAAUGGCAUAAUGAUGGCCAGGCUGUCUCCACCCGAGACUCAGUGAAAUUGAAAUCGCCGUGAAGAUGCGGUGUACCCGCGGCUAGACGGAAAGACCCCGUGAACCUUUACUAUAGCUUGACACUGAACAUUGAAUUUUGAUGUGUAGGAUAGGUGGGAGACUUAGAAGUAGGAACGCCAGUUUCUAUGGAGUCAUCCUUGAAAUACCACCCUUUAACGUUUGAUGUUCUAACGAAGAUGACGAAACGUGGUCUCGGACAGUGUCUGGUGGGUAGUUUGACUGGGGCGGUCUCCUCCCAAAGCGUAACGGAGGAGCACGAAGGUUUGCUAAUCACGGUCGGACAUCGUGAGGUUAGUGCAAUGGUAUAAGCAAGCUUAACUGCGAGACAGACAAGUCGAGCAGGUACGAAAGUAGGUCAUAGUGAUCCGGUGGUUCUGAAUGGAAGGGCCAUCGCUCAACGGAUAAAAGGUACUCCGGGGAUAACAGGCUGAUACCGCCCAAGAGUUCAUAUCGACGGCGGUGUUUGGCACCUCGAUGUCGGCUCAUCACAUCCUGGGGCUGAAGUAGGUCCCAAGGGUAUGGCUGUUCGCCAUUUAAAGUGGUACGCGAGCUGGGUUUAGAACGUCGUGAGACAGUUCGGUCCCUAUCUGCCGUGGGCGU